rnacentral:rRNA from 1 species
AUGAGGAAGAUGGGGAAGACAGAUCCACCGAUGCUGACCGGCAAAUUCCUUCGGGUGCUAUCGUGGGAAGAGGCGCGCCAGAGUAGCAGCACGGGAGAAGAUGAAGGUCGAGGAAGAGGGCAAAGACGCGGGGGUGGAAGAAGAUAUGCUUGUGGUCAUCGCCUUCCGAGACGACGGACCGGGCGAUUCAGAUUUCUCUCGUUCCUUGCCUCAAUGACAUGCUCUGCUUCUUCAGCUUGCAGGGAUGAGGAGAGAGCUCUAUUGUUGGCAUGGACUGAUGGCAUGAUCUGUUUGAGGGAGCAGCAGGUAGAAGAAAUCCAAAGCCAAUUUCGCUCAGCUGUAGCGUCUUCCAUUGACAAUAAAACUGCACAGCAGCCUAAUGUGGUAAAGAGAAGGAAAAGAGAACAUUGGAGAAAAAGGCAGCAGGACAGAUUCUCUAAGCUUUCUCAUAUGUUUGAACAAUUAGAAGAUAGUUACAAUCAUUUUUCUCUUGCCUUAUUAAAUCUUGAUGUUAAUAGGCUUUGGAAGAGUUAUAAUUGUGAAGGUGUGUACACAUCAACAACUAAUUCCCAUGAUCCUAUUACAGUUUGUUGUAACGACAAAAUUGAGCAGCUCUUACUUGAGUAA